UUGAUUGAUUCCCAAUUUGAUGCAAAUAACCAAAAUGAAUGGAUAUUACUUAUGGUCGGACUAAAUUUUCCGCAUUUUGUGUGUGAUUAUGCUCAGGUUUUGGAAGAAUCGGGCUAAGGGGUGAUUGUGCUCUGGUUUUGAUGCAGUGAGAUUCAGAUAAUUUUAAGAAACACAUGCAAAGGAGUCCAAACAGGACGGGCUCGGUGUACAUGGUUUUCAGUUAAUGCAGUUUAGGUCUGACCAGCACAAGUGGCAACAGGCAGUAGUGGAGAAGGCAUGAAGAGGCCCACAUCUGAAAAUCUCAACUAUUCUAGGAUUUUCGAGCUGCUGACCAUGUGAUUGGUAGCCUACAAUUUGUUCAUGGGUUGCUGAUUUCUCAAGUUUUGCCUCACACAAAAGAGGGCUAGCAACACCUUUGACAGAAACAGCCAACGUUUAGUGCAGAACCGGUAUAUUCUGGUUGUCUUUCAUUUAGUUGACGGCAUGCAAGACUGAUUUGAUGCAUCUACUGCUUGUUGACU